rnacentral:lncRNA from 1 species
UGAAGAAGAAAAACCAAAACCAGAUUCCAUAUUCUCCCAAUCCAGGAUCUUGUCCUAUAGUAGUAUGUUGCCACCACCUGAACAUCAGUCUAGCAGACCUUUUACCUUAUUAUGCAGAAAGCACACUUGGCAUGAAAAGAAAGGGUAUCCUCGGCUAGAUUUGCUUCUGUCAUGGCUGAAAAGGUGAAGUGACCCGCUCUGAAAACAUGAAGCCCUUGGACUCUCAGGUCACUGCAUAGGGUGUUCUAAUUAGAAAAACAAGUGUAGCAUUUUACCCACCAACACAGUGGUGACAUUUGGUGAAGUUCUAAAAAUCUUUAAUUAUUACUUACACUUUACAUAUUUACCAAAAUGUUAUGUAUCUCCUUGAUAUUUAAUAAAAUCACUUUUAAAAUCC